rnacentral:tRNA from 1 species
GAGAGGAUGGCUCAGUGUUAAAAAGCACUUGUUGCUCUUACAGAGAGACCUGGGUUCAAUUCCCAGUACUUACA